rnacentral:lncRNA from 1 species
CUCUGUGUCUGAAUUUUAGAAAGGAUCUCUGUGUAGUCCUAGAUGUCCUGGAAUUCCCUAUGUACUCCAUACUGGCCUUGAAUUUACAGAGGUCUGCCUGCCUCUGUCUCUGGGAUUAAAGGCAUGUAUCACCACUCCCAACCACUCCCAACUACUGUGUUGGGGUGUCUUUGGGUCUAGAAAUCCCAAGGUCUUUGGGAAAAUAUUCUGAUGCCUGGUUGGUUCCCUCUUGUCUUCCUUCUUUGCUAGCCUUCUGUCCUCAGACAUGGUGGGAGGUACCAUGCUCUAGAGUAGACAUCUGAUCGGAGACCCACAGGGAACUCUGUGAUUGGCCUUUAUGUCUUGCUGGACAACAGGUGAGCCUGGGCAUUCUCCUUAUUAUUGCAUGGCUCUAGCCAGUUUACUGCUUCCAUCUCAAUACCGCCUCCCUGCCUCCUGAGCUGUUUCUCACUCAAGCUGGGAAUCUGGUGCAAUAGCCAAAGCUUAGUAAAGAAAGGUAUAGAAGCCAGACACAGUGAGCCAAGUGCCUGCAGUAGGGGUGGGGAAGAGAGAAGAUGGCAGGGCCUUGGGGGAGUUGCCUACUGCCCUCCCUGCCCCAUCUCUCUCUUAGGUGCCUCAGCUGCUGCCUCAGCUGUAUCUCUGAGCUCCUUAAUCUGGUGAUCAGUGUGGUGCUGGGAGGGCGGGCUGGCAGAGGCUUUAGGAGGUGACAAGGGAUCUUAGGAGUCACACUCUGCUAAUGGAGCAUCACCAAGUGUCAUGGCAAAGCUGGAGAAUCACAUUCCAAGCGCAGUUCCCCCUCCAGAGGCAGCAGUCUUGGCCAGGCUGGACCCAGGAUGGGUGGUACCCAAUGAAAGCUAGGACACAGGCUCUGCCUGAUGCAAGGCAUCACUGUGUUCUUUGUUCCUGAUAAGGAAACUUCCGGAGAUUGGUGCUUUCUAGUUCUUUCUAUGUGACUAGGCCUUUAUUUUUCCACAGCUGCUCUGUAUUCCAGCUCCUACAUGCCAACUGUCAAUCCCAAUUAGAAGUGGUGUCUGUAUGUUACAGGUAGUCAUUCUCCUGGUCAGCCAGGAAAUGCUAUCAGAGACAGCCAGAUUUGUUCUACAGCAGAGUAAUUGUGCUAGACAGGAUGUCUUCCAUAUUAGCUUGAGUGGCUCAGUGGAAACUCAGAGAGUUCAGAAACUGAAGUCAGGGUGUGAAUGCAGCUCCAGGUAGUUCUGGGGUCUUAUGGACACCAGGAGGCAGGCAAAACCCUGGCUGGAGAGAAGGGACAGAGGAAGAGAUGCUAAGGGCAGACACUUGGCCCUGGAUUCAUGGGCACUUAGAUCCCUGAAUGUCCUGGGACCUCUAAAGCCUCAUCUACAAUUUUGGAAUUACUGCUACCUGUGGAGUUGCUGUGACUGGUGCAGGCACACAUGCUUUUCUCCAGAACUAUGUGACAGAUGGGAAGGAGUUGAACUUUCCAAGGUCACUUAACAUGGCUGUAUUUGGUGGGAUGGAAACAGUGGUGAUAUUCAGAGUAUUAACUUCCAACUGGCCUUGGUACUGGUAUUGCAACUUGCCUGAACCAGCAGCCCAUGGAAGAGGGCAUAGCUGGGCCUAGAUCAAUCAAUCCAUUUGUCUUUUUGUCUCUCUGUUCUAUCACAUAGGUGUCUAUUCAUCAGCAAGCACACAAACCUCCCUCAGGGCAAUUCCUGACAAGAUGGCAGGAUGCAUGAUCCCAGGGUCUCCUUUGCUCUCUCACCAGGUCCGGUAGGCCUCCCAUGGGGCACACCCCAUCUGAUCUGAGCCUCUCUGUGAGGAUGAGCUUUGCCUGGAUCUUGGACUGUCCUUUUCAGAAGCACUGUGGGCCAAGGAGUUGGGUGGGCCUGUCCUCAUUCUGACUCACCUCCUCGUGCCUCUACUUCUUUCUCUAGGGGCUGUUAGUGGCUCCCAUUGUCUGAGAGUGUGAUGCUGGAGGUGAGAUGGAGCCAUGUUCCUGAAGAAAGCAACUGGCCUCAAGGCAGCUUAAGUCUUCAGCUCCAGAAUUUUGGAGACUAUCCCCUGCCCUGGACAUGUGCACCUUGACAGUAGUGGCUUCUACUGGGUUUUCCUUACUGACAUCUUUCCUUUUCAGGGUCCAAGGUGGCCUAGUAAAAAAAAAUGAGAUCACAAGAAGAACAGCCCCACUCACCUGGAAGUCAGAGGGUCCUUGGCCCUCCUGCUCAGUUCACUAGACAAGCCUCUUUCCUCUCCAGACCUGGGAAGGAACACUGGAUGUGACCGUGUCUGCAGUCACUUAGCUGUAACAUUUUAUAACUUGGAAAUUCUUGGUGGUUUUUUUUUUUUUUCCAGCUUUGUUUCCUGCAAGUCACCCUACCUUCUGCUCCCUAACUUUCAGGAAACUCAGUCUUUUCUCUUUCAAGUUGCCCUGGGACACAGGUAGAUUCCUCUACCUAAAGCCUACAAAGAACCAACCAACCAAAGAAACAAACAAAAAAACCCAAAGCUUGUCUCAUUGCCUACCUUCAAUGUUGGAGCAGCUUGUCCUAGAGCCACAGUAUUGUCCUGUGAAGGGAAGUGAUGGGACAGGAUGUUCAGCUUUCAUGGACUCAGACAAGAGAAGUGGUAACUUCUGCCAGGGUCACAGGACAACUACAGAGCCAAGCAGCUUCAGAAAUAGAAGAGUGAGCAGGCAAAGAAAAUGCUACACCACCCAUCCUGAGGCUGCUGCAAUCCUGCCACCAGGGACUCAGCAGGAGACCAGGGAAAGUGCUCCACAACCCUUCUAGAGGGCCUUUGUCACUGACCUGCUGGCCUAGCAUCUCCUCCAUGUCUGCCCAUGCCACACCUUUCAGGACCAUUCUGGGUCUGAUGUGCUGUGGGGAUGCUCUGUCCAGGCACUUAGGAAAUGGAAACAUCACCAUUGGCAUUUUCACCUCAAACAACUAGGCAGUACCUUGGGAAGUAGCCAGAGGAAGCGACUCCAGCCUCCCAGGAGUUAAAGGCGCUUCUCCCCAGCUGUCCUCCCCUUGGUGCUCCUUCUCCUCCCUCCUUCUGCUCACAGCAGGCAGGGCCUGGAACCAGGAGCCAUGCUGCUGUGCUGUUGCCAGGGGAGCUGGGAGGCAGAUCGGAGCUAUGCAGGGGAAAGGCUCAGCCUGUCAAAGUGUCUGAGAUGAACCACCGCCAUCCCUGUGCAGCUGGGCUCAGAUGUGUCUCGGCUCUUGUUCUGUGCCUGAGAACGGUGAAGCCCAGUGAGGUUCAAGGGCACACUCGCUAUUCAUUAGUCAGGGGUUCUUGACGUCCUGUCUCUCCCAGGCAUGGGUUCCCCCCUUCUUCUUUCCCUCCCUCCUAUGACACAUUCCUGGGUGCCUGUGGUGAGGACUGCACACCCCCUCCUGCUCAGCCCCCUCCACACAAACCCUGAAUCAACUCCUGUUAAGGAGACCAGGCGGGACAGAGACAAUGGCUUCAAGAAACCAUUCAGGCGGGACCCCAGCCACAUUCGCCGGCCCUUGACUCCCAGGGCUCCUAUAGAUCCAACUCUGCUGUGACUCAGGGCACCCUUGGGCCCCCAGCUUGCACAUGCCUGGACAGAAGCAGACCACUUGGUGCUGCCCUACACAACAGGCCAGUGCAGUGCUAUUCUCAGUGGGCACCUUGGUGCCUCUGUCCCACUGGCUGGAUCUUUUUUGUGCAGUUUGUUGGAGUAGAAACUGUACAGUAUUUUCUGAAAUGUCACCACUAUGUCAAACUGUAAAAGGCACAUAUCCUUGGUUACUAAUUUCAUGAUUAGGAAUUUGUUCCAGAUACUGGAAACAUUUACUAAGAAGCAUGGACAAAGAACUGUGUGGUUCAACGGGUUAUUUAAUACCAUGGAAUACUACACAGCUGUAAAAGUGUGGUAGAUCUGUCUGCAUGCAGGCUGAUAUCAAAGGCUGACUAAUAAAUGUAAAUGAAUAAAAUAAAUAACAGGGCAGUCAAGUAUGUUCUUAUUUGUAUACAUUUAAAGUCAGUCAUGGAGUCCGAGGUAUGUGAAGGUCAGUGGUGAAAUACACACAGCAUACAAGAGGCCUGGAGUCAAAUAAAACAUAUCAGGGGGCUGGAGAGAUGGCUCAGCAGUUAAGAGCACUGAGUGUUCUUCCACAGGUCUCUGGUUCAAUUCCCAGCACCCACAUGGCAGCUAACAACUGUCUGUAACUCCAAGAUCUGACACCUUCAUACAGACAUACAGACAAAAUACCAAUGCAAAUUAAAUAAAAAAUAAAUAUUAAAAAAUAAAACGUAUCAG